GGGUAACAAACUAAAACUGAGGGAAACGCAUUAAAUAUAAGAGGAGAACAACGACACAACAUUAAAAUGUAACACACACAGAAACGGACUAAGCAUUAGACAAAAUCCUAUGAGAAUAACAAAUAUAACAUCAAAACCAAAUACAUGAAUUUUGGAUAGAUAAGUACCGUGACACGUCUUAUAGUAAUGUGAAUUCAAACUCAAAAAUAAGAGGAAACAAACUAUAAUAUAACAAUGGCAAUAUUCCUGACUUGGUACAGGACAUUUUUAAAGGAAAAAAUGGCGGGUUGAACCUGGUUUUGUGGCAUGCCAAACCUCCCUCUUUUAUGACCAUGUGAAAUAUAACAUUAAAAUGACAACACAACAUUACAGGACUGCAAUAUAAAUAAAUAGGAGAACACAAUUGACAAAGAAACACAC
rnacentral:lncRNA from 1 species